AUUGAACGCUGGCGGCGGGCUUAACACUUGCAAGUCGAGCGGAGUGAUGGUGCUUGCACUAUCACUUAGCGGCGGACGGGUGAGUAAUGCUUAGGAAUCUGCCAUUUAGUGGGGGACAACAUUCCGAAAGGAAUGCUAAUACCGCAUACGUCCUACGGGAGAAAGCAGGGGAUCUUCGGACCUUGCGCUAAAUGAUGAGCCUAAGUCGGAUUAGCUAGUUGGUGGGGUAAAGGCCUACCAAGGCGACGAUCUGUAGCGGGUCUGAGAGGAUGAUCCGCCACACUGGGACUGAGACACGGCCCAGACUCCUACGGGAGGCAGCAGUGGGGAAUAUUGGACAAUGGGCGGAAGCCUGAUCCAGCCAUGCCGCGUGUGUGAAGAAGGCCUUUUGGUUGUAAAGCACUUUAAGCGAGGAGGAGGCUACUAGUACUAAUACUACUGGAUAGUGGACGUUACUCGCAGAAUAAGCACCGGCUAACUCUGUGCCAGCCGCCGCAGUAAAAC
rnacentral:rRNA from 1 species